rnacentral:rRNA from 1 species
AUUGAACGCUGGCGGCAUGCUUUACACAUGCAAGUCGAACGGCAGCACGGGUGCUUGCACCUGGUGGCGAGUGGCGGACGGGUGAGUAAUACAUCGGAACGUGUCCUGAAGUGGGGGAUAACGCAUCGAAAGAUGUGCUAAUACCGCAUAUACUCUAAGGAGGAAAGUAGGGGAUCGAAAGACCUUAUGCUUUUGGAGCGGCCGAUGUCUGAUUAGCUAGUUGGUAAGGUAAUGGCUUACCAAGGCGACGAUCAGUAGUUGGUUUGAGAGGACGGCCAGCCACACUGGGACUGAGACACGGCCCAGACUCCUACGGGAGGCAGCAGUGGGGAAUUUUGGACAAUGGGCGCAAGCCUGAUCCAGCAAUGCCGCGUGAGUGAAGAAGGCCUUCGGGUUGUAAAGCUCUUUCAGUCGAGAAGAAAAGAUUGCUGAUAAUACCAGUAAUCCAUGACGGUAUCGAC